rnacentral:rRNA from 1 species
GAUGAACGCUAGCGGCAGGCUUAAUACAUGCAAGUCGAGGGGCAGCAUGAUUGUAGCAAUACAAUUGAUGGCGACCGGCAAACGGGUGCGGAACACGUACACAACCUCCCAAUAAGUGGGGAAUAGACCAGAGACAUUUGGAUCAAUACACCGUAACAUCACGAUGUGGCCUCACAUUGUUAUUAUAGAUUUUUCGUUGUUUGAUGGGUUUCCGGCUGAUUAGGUCGUUGGCGGGGUAACGGCCCACCAAGUCUACGAUCAGUAGGCGAUGUGAGAGCAUGAUCAGCCACACGGGCACUGAGACACGGACCCGACUCCUACGGGAGGCAGCAGUAAGGAAUAUUGGACAAUGGACGCAAGUCUGAUCCAGCCAUGCCGCGUGAAGGAUUAAGGUCCUCUGGAUUGUAAACUUCUUUUAUAAGGGACGAAAAAAGGCUUUGCGAAGUAGUCUGACGGUACCUUAUGAAUAAGCACCGGCUAACUCCGUGCCAGCCGCCGCGGUAAAAC